AUUGAACGCGGGCGCCAUGCUUUACACAUGCAAGUCGGACGGCAGCACAGAGAAGCUUGCUUCUUGGGUGGCGAGUGGCGAACGGGUGAGUAACAUAUCGGAACGUACCGAGCAGUGGGGGAUAACUAAUCGAAAGAUUAGCUAAUACCGCAUAUUUUCUGAGGAAGAAAGCAGGGGACCAUUUGGCCUUGCGCUGUUUGAGCGGCCGAUAUCUGAUAGCUAGUUGGUGGGGUAAAGGCCUACCAAGGCGACGAUCAGUAGCGGGUCUGAGAGGAUGAUCCGCCACACUGGGACUGAGACACGGCCCAGACUCCUACGGGAGGCAGCAGUGGGGAAUUUUGGACAAUGGGCGCAAGCCUGAUCCAGCCAUGCCGCGUGUCUGAAGAAGGCCUUCGGGUUGUAAAGGACUUUUGUCAGGGAAGAAAAGGACAGGGAUAAUACCCCUGUCUGAUGACG
rnacentral:rRNA from 1 species